rfam:Clostridium sp. CAG:609 genomic scaffold, scf8
GGGGAAGUUCAGGUUUCGACAUGUAUAACUAGGCAUGACUGCAAGUGGUCGGCAUACCUUAAGUGCACAAUUAAAAUUAAAUGACGAAGCUAAUUAUAGUUUCGCUCCUGCUUUUGCCUAAUAGAGGUUAAGGGAGCACUUCUAUUCAAUUUUUCUUAUAGGUUGAAUUAGGGGUUAAUAAAUAUAAGAUAUAAUGCAUUUUUUGUUUAGGAUUAUGUAUUGAAUUUUACUAAACUUACUUGUAAAUAGGUUAGUGUAGAGCCAUUUUUACAAGAACAUUUAAAUCUACCUAAACUUGUAGACGUUGUGAUAUAGAGUAUAUUGGACAGGAGUUCGAUUCUCCUCUUCUCCACCA